AUAUUCACUUUUGCAGCACUUAUAUUAAAACUAGAAUGAUACAGAGAAAAUUAGCAUGGCCCCUACACAAGAAUGACACUCAUAUUCAUGAAGAGGUCCCAUAGUUUU